GGGACGGCCGUGGGCGCCCGGCCCGCCCGGCGGCCCAGUUCCUGGUUGCGCGGGCGGGCGGCGAUGGCGCGGCGGGCGGGCGGCUGGCGGCGGCUCUGCCUGCUCUGGUGCCUUCUGCGGCUGGCGGCGGCGCGGCGGCCGCCCCCGCACCUGGUGGUGGUGCUGGCCGACGACCUGGGCUGGGGCGACGUGGGCUGGCACGGCUCGGCCAUCCGCACGCCGCGGCUGGACGCGCUGGGGGCGGGCGGCGUGCGGCUGGAGCGGUACUACACGCAGCCGCUGUGCACGCCGUCCCGCAGCCAGCUCCUCAGCGGCCGCUACCAGAUCCACACAGGUUUACAACACCAAAUAAUUUGGCCCUGCCAACCCAGCUGUCUCCCCCUGGAUGAGAAACUCCUCCCAGAGCUACUUAAAGAGGCAGGAUAUGUUACUCACAUGGUGGGGAAGUGGCAUUUAGGGAUGUACAGAAAAGAAUGCCUUCCAACCCGGAGAGGAUUUGAUACUUACUUUGGCUAUCUUCUGGGAAGUGAGGAUUACUACUCUCAUGACCGUUGUGUGCUCAUCAAAGCAAAGAAUGUAACACGCUGCGCUCUGGACUUUCGAGAUGGAGAAGAAGUUGUAACUAGAUUUAAAAACAUGUACUCCACUAAUUUAUUCACAGAAAGAGCUAUAGAUCUGAUAGCCAAUCAUAAAACUGAGAAGCCCCUCUUUCUCUACCUCGCUUUUCAGUCUGUCCAUGAACCUCUCGAGGUCCCUGAGGAAUACAUGAAACCAUAUUCCUCCAUUAAGGAUGAAAAGAGGCGCCAUUAUUCAGGAAUGGUGACGCUUAUGGAUGAAGCUGUAGGAAACCUUACUGAUGCUCUGAAAAAAUACAAUCUUUGGGAUAACACAGUUCUUGUUUUCUCUACUGAUAAUGGAGGACAGACUUUGUCAGGUGGAAAUAACUGGCCGCUGAGAGGAAGAAAGUGGACCCUUUGGGAAGGAGGAGUGAGAGGAGUAGGGUUUGUUGCAAGUCCUUUACUGAAACAAAAAGGUGUAGAAAGUCACGAACUUAUCCAUAUCUCUGACUGGCUGCCAACGCUGGUGCACCUUGCUGGAGGACACACCAAUGGCACUAAGCCUCUGGAUGGCUUUGAUGUUUGGAAAACUAUCAGUGAAGGAAGACCAUCUCCCAGAGUCGAACUGCUUCAUAACAUAGACCCCAUGUUUGUGGAUGAUUUCCCAUGUCUUGGCAUUGACAACAGGACAUCUUUAUUGCAGAACAGUUCUUUUAUGUGGGAUGAUACACUUUUCAAUAUCUCCAUGCAUGCAGCAAUUCGACAUGGAAAAUGGAAGUUACUAACUGGAUAUCCAGGAUGCAGUCACUGGUUCCCUCCACCUUUGUUCAGUGAGUCAGUGAUUCAGUCGUCUGAUCCACCAACAAAGAGACUUUGGCUUUUUGAUGUUGUUCAUGAUCCUGAGGAGAAAAAUGAGUUGUCUGAAAGAUAUCCUAAUGUGGUGAAAAAACUGCUCUCACGACUUCAGUAUUAUUAUAAACGUUCAGUGCCUGUGUUCUACCCUGAUGAGGAUCCCCGCUGUGAUCCAGCAGCAGCUGGGGCCUGGGGUCCUUGGGCAUAGUGCACAGCAUCGCACCCUGCAAAACUCACCUGUAGUGGAGUUGGAUUUGUAGUCUCAGGGUCCUAGUCAUAUAUUUCUUACCUUGUUUUUUACAGUAUUGCUAAUCGUGAGUUCAUUCCGUGAGUAAUUCAGUCUUUCUUACCCUUAAAAUGUGGUGGGAAUCUUAUUUCAGUCCUCCCCACUCUCUCCUUCUCAACAAUUAUACAUGAAAUGUUGAUAAAAUUAGAAAUCUGUUGUUUGAAUAUUCUUUGUCAAUAAUGUGCCUUUAAAGUAGGAUGUUGCUUCCCUCCCUGAAAGAGAUUACUUCUGUUAAAAAGCUGCUAUGAGUCAUGGAAGCAGAAUGAUUCAUAAUUCUGUUGUGGAAGAAACUGAUGUUUCAUUUCAUGCUUGCCCAGAAGACAAAUUCUAUCAGAAGCUGUUACAUAUUUGUAAAGAAUUGAAGAAAUACAGCAGUUGACAUAAUUUUUACCUUUCACGUGCACUUCUGUCCAGAAAAGAGAACAGUCAGAAAUCUCCAAGAAUAAAAAAACCCUUUCAGUAUACAGCAAAAUACCUUAUUCCAGUUCAGUGCUAACAUAUGAAAUUGGGGUAGAGAGAGGUGGUUGACUUGAGGACAGGGCUGCCACGCAGAGGGACAUUAACACACCGGAGAAAUGGAUGAACAAAAACUUUAUGAAGUUCAACAAGGGCAGAGUCCUGCACUUGGGAUGGCAAAACACCACACAACAGUAUAGGCUGGGCUCUGACUGGAUAGACAGCGUUGCCUUGGGAAAGAACCUGGAGUGCUGUUGGACAACAAAUUGAACAAGAAUCACCAUAUGCCCUAGUGGUGAAGAAGGCCAAGGACAUAUUGGUGCAUAUUAGCAAGAGUGUAGCCAGCACAUGGAGGGAAGUGAUUAUUCCCCUCUAUUCAGCAUUGGAGCACUGCAUCACAUUUUGGGCUUCCUUAUACAGGAAAGAGAUUGAUAUGCUGGAGUGAGUCUAGCAGAGGGCCACAGAAAUGAGCACAUGACAAAUGAGGGGUGGCUAAAGAACUGGGUUAGUUUAGCCUGGGAAAGAAAAGAUAAAGGGGGGAUUGUUAUCUUCAGUGAGCCAGAGGAAGGGCAUAGAGAAGAUGAAGCCAGACUCAGAGGUGUGCAAAGAGAAGACAAGAGGCAACAGACACAAGCUUCAACAGACACAAGUUGCAACACAGGGAGUUCCAAUUAGAUAUAAGGAAAAAAAAUCUCACCAUGAGAAUGGUCAAAUACUGGAACAGGUUGCCCAGUGAGGUUGUUGUAUCCCUAUCCUUGGAGAUGUUCAGAACUUGGUCGGAAAAGAUUCUGAGUAACCUAAUCUUAACUCUGAAGUUGGAUCUAAUUUGCAGAUUGGCCCUGCUUUAGUGGUGGUUGGUGGAACAACCAGAUGGACCUCCAAAGGGCCCUUUCAGCCUGCAUUAUUCAUUGAUUCUAUGAUGAACAAAGCCUUACUCUCACUUAUUGUCCACCUUUCUGGUGAGUACCCUUUCUGCUCAGAUUGGUUUUUUAUUAUCACAGUAGCAACUGUUUUCAUCUUGAAGUGGGCUGUGAGCCAAGGGGAAACUAGGCCAAACAACUUUACUUGGUUACUCACCAAAUUGAUGUGAGAAGAUCAACCCACCAGCUCUCUUAACUUUGUAAACCUCUGGAGUCUGGCCAGAAUUCUGUUGGUGCUUUUCAGCAUCCUUUGCCAAAUUCUCAGGCUGCAGAACUCUAGCUGUCAUCCUCUCCAGAAAGUAGGAACCUAACUGCAUGUUUUCAGAAUCCAGGACCAAGUCCUGUGAUUUGCACUAAAGUUUUGCACACCUUUUCCCAGUUUUCCUUCAGGAGACAUCUGCUAAUUGUUAGCAAACAGACUUAUGAAGAGACUGUCACACUUGACAAAAUUUUCUUUCUUUCUUUUUUUUUUUAAACUACAAAGAUAAAGCAUAGGAAAGAUGGAACUUCAGGAAAUCAAAAACAUGUAUUAAAAUAAACAAAAAUUCCUGCCUUCUGCUACAGCUGAUUCUCCAUUACACUGUUUUAAACCUAACUUGCCUUUCCCACCUCCGAUGUGUACCUACAUAUACAGGAAGGGGAGCCAAAGUUCUUCAAAAGCUUGUUCAGCUGUUUGUCUUUUUCCCAAGGAGUGUCAUGUUUUCCCUUCUCCUUUGUCACUUCUGCCUCUUUAUCUCAGUAUUUUCCCAUUCUGUUUCCUUUGCUGUCUUCAGCCUUGAAGGUGAAUAGGGAAGAAGGAUGGAUUGGGAGAGAAUAAUUCUCCUAUAUUGGGCAAACAUAUAUUCUCCAUGGUUUAGUCUGAUAUGUCUUGGAAGCCUGCAUCAGACCAAGGUUCAAUCCAUCUCCAUCAGUGAUUGAAAGCACACAGCUGCACAGGAGUAAAGGGCAAGCAUAUGUGAUAAGUUCUCCAGAUUGUCUUUAAUAUUCUAACUUUGGCUCAGAGAAGAACUGAACCUCAGACAUUUAACUUCUAUGUAUUUAAUAGCCCUCAGUGUAAACUCUUAGUAUUUACACAAUCUUCUUCCACAGUUAGGAGUUCCACAGCCUAAAUACACAAUGUGUGAAGAGUCACCUCUGUUUAUGAUAUGCUUCUGGGCAAUUUGAGUUUUCACUGGUAAAAUACAUAUGGUGUGACAGAAGUCCCUACUAUACCAUGUUUAGCAACUUUCAUAUUAAACAGUAUCUUUAUAAUAAAAAACAAUUUAUAUGUUCUGUAGAGGUAGUCUCCAAAUAGGUACUGUACAUGACCAUCUCUCCUUCCAUUUCACAGAACUGUUUUCAACUUUUCUUUCUAUUUUGGCUUCACAGCACAACAGCAUUUCACUCUCAAGCUUCAAGAGAUUCUUUAAGAUAACUUUCUGAGACAAACUGUUAUCUGCUGACCACAGGAAGGGAUCAAAAAUGUACUGUUUUUAUCAUGCUGUUAUCCAAUUUCGUGGAAUAGAAGAAAAAGGUAUCAGCUAACUUGCAAAAACCCAGAUAAUUCAUGUUCUUCCAUCAAUGUCAACUCCUUGGCUAAAGUUAGAAAGGAUCAAAGAACUUCUAAUUUUAAUUUCAAAAUUGCAGAACUACAAGCAUGAGAUUUCAUACUUUAUGGAUCUUCACAGCAUACAUUUGGGCCAUACUGCAGACUGAUAAGAAAGUUGUCUUCACUGUGCUCAAAAGUGUGUCUGAACUCCAGCCUCCUUGUGGAGACCAAGCUGUGAGCGUCUCUCUCCCCUUAGGCUUCUGAACACUGAAUUCUCUCCUAAAGAUAAAUAAUUAAUGGAAGAGGAAGAAAAGAGCUGCUGUCACCAGUGGGUCCACUAACACCACAACCAUCACUAUCACCUUUUGUAUGACUAACAGGGUUGAGACACCACUCCUUAUCCCAUCACUCAAUUGCAGUGAAACUUAUAUGAUUUGAACAUACAUGGAUGCCUAUGUUUAGAUACACAGGGAACUUUGUAAAUGAAUAUUACAGAUACAUUAAUAUUUAUCUUCUUUCAUUUUAGGUAAUCUCUAUUAGAUGAAUAGGCACUAAAUCAAUAGGCACUUCACUUAAUCUUUUUAGGAGUGGAUAGAUGAUCGGUGAGAAAAAUGAUCUUUGGUACAAAAAUAUUUGCAGUGCAGUUUUUUACACUUUCCAGUUUCAUAUUAUUAAUGGACCAUCAAGGUUGUAACACAUCCUAUUGAAAUGGCAUAAUCUAUCUGUUUGGAAAAACACUCUGAUCCUAAAGUAAUUGUGCUAUCUAUUACAAAGACUGGCUCAAAGUGUAUCUAAAGAUGGGAAUGCAAGAGGUUUUAUAGCUUUUGCAAAUUAAUAUGUCAAUUACAUUCAUUUUGUAUUAUCAAAUAAUGUUCUGACCGCUCUGUUUGUUUGAAGUCUCCAGGGUUAAAAUAUUCUUUAAACAUAUGUUUAUUUUUGGACAGACCUACUGAGUUGUCUCCUAUUGUAUGUUAAAGUAGCUACUCUCUGAGGUCAGAAAGAGUUCAGCUUUACAAAGAUACCCUUAUUUUGUAGAAAUGGGAUCUUCAGAGUCUUUAAUAGGAACAAACAAAAAUAUCUUUAUUAAAACUUUUUUUGAAUGAUUCAGUAGAUGACUUGUCUGAAUUGAAAGGGGAAAAGAAAUGUAAGGACACAAGUUUGGACAAUAAACAAAGCCGUGAAAGCAUA